rnacentral:rRNA from 1 species
CGGCGAGUGAAGCGGCAAAAGCUCAAAUUUGAAAUCUGGUACCUUCGGUGCCCGAGUUGUAAUUUGGAGAGGGCAACUUUGGGGCCGUUCCUUGUCUAUGUUCCUUGGAACAGGACGUCAUAGAGGGUGAGAAUCCCGUGUGGCGAGGAGUGCGGUUCUUUGUAAAGUGCCUUCGAAGAGUCGAGUUGUUUGGGAAUGCAGCUCUAAGUGGGUGGUAAAUUCCAUCUAAAGCUAAAUAUUGGCGAGAGACCGAUAGCGAACAAGUACAGUGAUGGAAAGAUGAAAAGAACUUUGAAAAGAGAGUGAAAAAGUACGUGAAAUUGUUGAAAGGGAAGGGCAUUUGAUCAGACAUGGUGUUUUGUGCCCUCUGCUCCUUGUGGGUAGGGGAAUCUCGCAUUUCACUGGGCCAGCAUCAGUUUUGGUGGCAGGAUAAAUCCAUAGGAAUGUAGCUUGCCUCGGUAAGUAUUAUAGCCUGUGGGAAUACUGCCAGCUGGGACUGAGGACUGCGACGUAAGUCAAGGAUGCUGGCAUAAUGGUUAUAUGCCGCCCGUCUUGAACG